AUUGAACGCUGGCGGCAUGCCUUACACAUGCAAGUCGAACGGCAGCACGGGCUUCGGUCUGGUGGCGAGUGGCGAACGGGUGAGUAAUGUAUCGGAACGUACCUUUCAGUGGGGGAUAACGUAGCGAAAGUUACGCUAAUACCGCAUAUUCUGUGAGCAGGAAAGCAGGGGAUCGCAAGACCUUGCGCUGAUUGAGCGGCCGAUAUCAGAUUAGUUAGUUGGUGAGGUAAAGGCUCACCAAGGCGACGAUCUGUAGCGGGUCUGAGAGGAUGGUCCGCAACACUGGAACUGAGACACGGUCCAGACUCCUACGGGAGGCAGCAGUGGGGAAUUUUGGACAAUGGGGGCAACCCUGAUCCAGCCAUGCCGCGUGAGUGAAGAAGGCCUUCGGGUUGUAAAGCUCUUUCGGCCGGGAAGAAAUCGCAUAGGUUAAUACCCUGUGUGGAUGACGGUACCGGAAUAAGAAGCACCGGCUAACUACGUGCCAGCCGCCGCCGUAAAAC
rnacentral:rRNA from 1 species